AUUGAACGCUGGCGGCAGGCCUAACACAUGCAAGUCGAGCGAGCGGCGGACGGGUGAGUAAUGUAUGGGAAUGUGCCUGAUGGAGGGGGAUAGAUACUGGAAACGGUGGCUAAUACCGCAUACAAUCGAGUGAACCCAGAUGGGCUUAGCUAGUAGGGGGGGUAAAGGCUCACCUAGGCGACGAUCCCAAGCUGGGCUGAGAUGAUGAUCAGCCACACUGGGACUGAGACACGGUCCAGACUCCUACGGGAGGCAGCAGUGGGGAAUAUUGCACAAUGGGCGCAAGCCUGAUGCCGCCAUGCCGCGUGUAUGAAGAAGGCCUUAGGGUUGUAAAGUACUUUCAGCGGGGAGGCGUUACCCGCAGAAGAAGCACCGGCUAACUCCGUGCCAGCCGCCGCGGUAAUUC
rnacentral:rRNA from 1 species